GAUGAACGCUGGCGGCGUGCCUAACACAUGCAAGUCGAGCGAAGCGGGGACGGGUGAGUAACAUGUGGAUAACCUCCUAUAAGACUGGGAUAAUUUUGGGAAACCGGAGCUAACCCGGUGACUUAUAGAUGGAUCCUCGCUGGAUUAGCUAGUUGGUAAGGUAACGGCUUACCAUGGCUACGAUGCAUAGCCGACCUGAGAGGGUGAUCAGCCACACUGGAACUGAGACACGGUCCAGACUCCGACGGGAGGCAGCAGUAGGGAAUCUUGCGCAAUGGGCGCAAGCCUGACGGAGCAACGCCGCGUGAGUGAAGAAGGUCUUCGGGUCGUAAAGCUCUGUUAUUAGGGAAGCGGUACCUAAACAGAAAGCAACGGCUAACUACGUGCCAGCAGCCGCGGUAAUAC
rnacentral:rRNA from 1 species